rnacentral:pre_miRNA from 7 species
UACUUAGGAAGCUUAAGGCCCCCUUUCGGGGACCCCCACUCUAGUCUCGGGAGAGAGAGUGCACCCAAAGAAACAGGAGAAUCC